UGUGUCUUUUAACAAGGAAACACU
rnacentral:siRNA from 1 species